GAUGAACGCUGGCGGCGUGCCUAAUACAUGCAAGUCGAGCGAACGGACGAUAAGCUUGCUUCUCUGUUGUUAGCGGCGGACGGGUGAGUAACACGUGUAUACCCUCCCUAUAAGACUGGGAUAACUUCGGGAAUCCGGAGCUAAUACCGUAUAAUCUUUUGAACCGCAUGGUUCAAAAGUGAAAUACGGUCUUUCUGUCACUUCUAGAUGGAUCUGCGCUGCAUUAGCUAGUUGGUAAGGUAACGGCUUAUCAAGGCGACGAUGCAUAGCCGACCUGAGAGGGGGAUAGGCGACACUGGAACUGAGACACGGACAAGACUACUACGGGAGGCAGCAGUAGGGAAUCUUCCGCAAUGGGCGAAAGUAUGACGGAGCAACGCCGAGUGAGAGAUGAAGGUCUUCGGAUCGUAAAAAUCUGUUAUGAGGGAAGAACAGAUGUGUAAGUAACUGUGCACAGCUUGACGGUACCUGAUAAGAAAGCAACGGCUAACUACGUG
rnacentral:rRNA from 1 species